GCAUUAAUGGGGUGUGGUAACCUGGGUCGUUGCCACUGCAGUGAUGCUUUUCGACCCGCCGGGGGUUCGAUUCCCCCUUAAUGCA